GACGAACGCUGGCGGCGUGCUUAACACAUGCAAGUCGAACGGAAAGGCCCUGCUUUUGUGGGGUGCUCGAGUGGCGAACGGGUGAGUAACACGUGAGUAACCUGCCCUUGACUUUGGGAUAACUUCAGGAAACUGGGGCUAAUACCGGAUAGGAGAUCCUGCUGCAUGGAGGGGGUUGGAAAGUUUCGGCGGUUGGGGAUGGACUCGCGGCUUAUCAGCUUGUUGGUUGGGGAGUGGCUUACCAAGGCUUUGACGGGUAGCCGGCCUGUGAGGGUGACCGGCCACAAUGGGACUGAGAUACGGCCCAGACUCCUACGGGAGGCAGCAGUGGGGAAUAUUGCACAAUGGGCGGAAGCCUGAUGCAGCAACGCCGCGUGCGGGAUGACGGCCUGCGGGUUGUAAACCGCUUUCGCCUGUGACGAAGCGUGAGUGACGGUAAUGGGUAAAGAAGCACCGGCUAACUACGUG
rnacentral:rRNA from 1 species